UCGAACGGGAAGUGGAGCAAUCCAUGAGUAAAGUGGCGUACGGGUGAGUAACACGUGGGUAAUCUACCUUCUGGUGUGGAAUAGCCCUGGGAAACCGGGGCUAAUACCGCAUAAUCCCGAGAGGGGAAAGGUGAAAAUCGCCGGGAGAGGAGCCCGCGGCCGAUUAGCUAGUUGGUGAGGUAACGGCCCACCAAGGCAGAGAUCGGUAGCCGGCCUGAGAGGGCACACGGCCACACUGGCACUGAAACACGGGCCAGACUCCUACGGGAGGCAGCAGUGGGGAAUCUUGCACAAUGGGGGAAACCCUGAUGCAGCGACGCCGCGUGAGCGAUGAAGCCCUUCGGGGUGUAAAGCUCUUUCGGCAGGGAAGAUUAUGACGGUACCUGCAGAAGCAGCUGCGGCUAACUACGUGCCAGCAGCCGCGGUAAUACGUAGGCAGCAAGCGUUGUUCGGAGUUACUGGGCGUAAAGGGUGUGUAGGCGGUUGCUUAAGUUUGGUGUGAAAUCUCCCGGCUCAACUGGGAGGGUGCGCCGAAUACUGAGUGACUAGAGUGCGGGAGAGGAAAGUGGAAUUCCUGGUGUAGCGGUGAAAUGCGUAGAUAUCAGGAGGAACACCGGUGGUGUAGACGGCUUUCUGGACCGUAACUGACGCUGAAACACGAAAGCGUGGGUAGCAAACAGGAUUAGAUACCCUGGUAGUCCACGCCCUAAACGAUGCAUAUUUGGUGUGGGCAGUUCAUUCUGUCCGUGCC
rnacentral:rRNA from 1 species